rnacentral:rRNA from 1 species
CCUACGGGUGGCAGCAGUGAGGAAUAUUGGUCAAUGGACGAGAGUCUGAACCAGCCAAGUAGCGUGAAGGAUGACUGCCCUAUGGGUUGUAAACUUCUUUUAUAUAGGAAUAAAAUGAGGCACGUGUGCCUUUUUGUAUGUACUUUAUGAAUAAGGAUCGGCUAACUCCGUGCCAGCAGCCGCGGUAAUACGGAGGAUCCGAGCGUUAUCCGGAUUUAUUGGGUUUAAAGGGAGCGUAGAUGGGUUGUUAAGUCAGUUGUGAAAGUUUGCGGCGCAACCGUAAAAUUGCAAUUGAUACUGGCAGUCUUGAGUACAGUUGAGGUAGGCGGAAUUCGUGGUGUAGCGGUGAAAUGCUUAGAUAUCACGAAGAACCCCGAUGGCGAAGGCAGCUUACUAAACUGUAACUGACAUUGAGGCUCGAAAGUGUGGGUAUCAAACAGGAUUAGAUACCCGGGUAGUC